UAGCCCUAAGAAUAAUAUCCGAUAUCCGCGGAUAUCCGGAUCCGAAUUCAAUCCAAAAAUUCGGAUAUUCGGCCAGGAUGAAUCCGGAUACGGAUAGUAAAUUUCCGAUCUAACGGAUACAGAUCCGGAUUCAGAUAGUGAACAAUUUUUGGUUCGGAUAUCCGGAUCCAAAUAGUUAUUAGUCUAAUGGGUUUAAUAAUACUAACGGACCAAACAAUACUAACAGACCUAACUAAAUUAUUGGGCCUAACUAAACUUAUGGGCCUACUAAUGACGCAAAAUAACCUAGCUACUCUUAUUUUUCUUCCCACGAUCUCUCUCUCCCUUUCCUUUCGUUUUCUGUCCUUGUUCAUCUCCUCCAAUUUUUCAGAUUGCUUUCCUCUUCUAAUUUCAUAAGAGAAGAUCGUAUCAAAAGAAGUGUAUGUUUGCUUUCAUACUUUUUUUAAUCUUUACAUUUGGAGUGGUUAUAGAAAAAGAAUUGAAUCUUAUGAUGAGAUUUGGACAGACCCAUACCAGAUCCGGCGUUUAGCUAUGACAGUUAACGAAAUCAAGAGAAAUCAAUAAGAAAAUAGAACAAAAGAGGUUCUAGGGAAGAUAUUUGAGUUUGUGAUUAGUAUGCUAGGGUUUCGUUUGGUGGUGGUGAAAAUUAAAAAAGGGACGGAUCCAGAUAUCCGCGGAUAUCCGGUUUUUAGACACGGAUAUUUGUAUUCGGAUAUCCGUAGUCACGGAUCCGGAUUCGGAUAGUGUUUUCAUAUAUCCGCUGGAAACGGAUUCGGAUUCGGAUAGUCCGAAAAAGCCGGAUAUCCGCUCCGUUUACAGGGCUAUUUGUAAGCAUCCUGUAGAUGGAUUUUGCUGGUCUAUUUCCUGAUAUUUUGGUUUUGAUUUGAGAGACUUACAGAUGAAUACAGGUUGGUUUCCAUAGAUGUAUAUAAGAUAUAGUGCUGAAUUCCUGACUCCCCAUGGGACAAUAUGUAGCCAGCUUGAUCUAGCCUGAUUUCAAGAGCUAUGAAGUCAAGCAUCAACAAGAAAGAAGAAUGAGUUCUCAAACAUUAUGUACAGUGGAGAAAACACGUUUGAAUAGUCAAUUCGCUUCUUAA